rnacentral:rRNA from 1 species
CAUGCAUGAUGAACGAGGGCGUCGCCCUAUACAGGCGCACGGGUGCGUAACGCGUGGGAAUCUGCCCUUGGGUUCGGAAUAACAGCGAGAAAUUGCUGCUAAUACCGGAUGAUGACGUAAGUCCAAAGAUUUAUCGCCCAAGGAUGAGCCCGCGUAGGAUUAGCUAGUUGGUGAGGUAAAGGCGCACCAAGGCGACGAUCCUUAGCUGGUCUGAGAGGAUGAUCAGCCACACUGGGACUGAGACACGGCCCAGACUCCUACGGGAGGCAGCAGUGGGGAAUAUUGGACAAUGGGCGAAAGCCUGAUCCAGCAAUGCCGCGUGAGUGAUGAAGGCCUUAGGGUUGUAAAGCUCUUUUACCCGGGAUGAUAAUGACAGUACCGGGAGAAUAAGCUCCGGCUAACUCCGUGCCAGCAGCCGCGGUAAU